rnacentral:rRNA from 1 species
UACGUAGGGUGCAAGCGUUGUCCGGAAUUAUUGGGCGUAAAGAGCUCGUAGGCAGUCUGUCGCGUCGGCUGUGAAAACCCGGAGCUCAACUCCGGGCCUGCAGUCGAUACAGGCAAACUGUAGUACUGCAGGGGAGACUGGAAUUCCUGGUGUAGCGGUGGAAUGCGCAGAUAUCAGGAGGAACACCGGUGGCUAAGGCGGGUCUCUGGGCAGUAACUGACGCUGAGGAGCGAAAGCGUGGGGAGCGAGCAGG